rnacentral:miRNA from 1 species
UGUUCUUCCCGUGCAGAAGCAG